GACGAACGCUGGCGGCGUGCUUAACACAUGCAAGUCGAACGAAGUGGCGAACGGGUGAGUAACGCGUAAUCAACCUGCCCUACAGAGGGGGACAACAGGGGGAAACAACUGCUAAUACCGCAUACGGAGGGGGGGGAUGGCGGCUGAUUAGAUAGAUGGAGGGGUAACGGCCCACCAAGGCGAGGAGCAGUAGCCUGUCGGAGAGGAUGAACUGCCACAUUGGGACUGAGACACGGCCCAGACUCCCACGGGAGGCAGCAGUGGGGAAUCUUCCGCAAUGGACGAAAGUCUGACGGAGCAACGCCGCGUGAGUGAUGACGGCCUUCGGGUUUUAAAGCGCUGUUAAUCGGGACGCGGUACCGGAAUAGAAAGCCACGGCUAACUACGUGCCAGCAGCCGCGGUAAUUC
rnacentral:rRNA from 1 species